UCCGUAGGCGGGAUAUUAAGUCAGUGGUGAAAGCCUGCAGCUCAACUGUAGAAUUGCCAUUGAUACUGGUAUCCUUGAGUACACCUGAAGUGGGCGGAAUGUGUCAUGUAGCGGUGAAAUGCAUAGAUAUGACACAGAACACCGAUUGCGAAAGCAGCUCACUAAAGUGUUACUGACGCUGAGGGACGAAAGCGUGGGGAGCGAACAGGAUUAGAUACCCUGGUAGUC
rnacentral:rRNA from 1 species